AGUGAACGCUGGCGGUAGGCCUAACACAUGCAAGUCGAACGGCAGCACAGUAAGAGCUUGCUCUUACGGGUGGCGAGUGGCGGACGGGUGAGGAAUACAUCGGAAUCUACUUUUUCGUGGGGGAUAACGUAGGGAAACUUACGCUAAUACCGCAUACGACCUACGGGUGAAAGCAGGGGAUCUUCGGACCUUGCGCGAUUGAAUGAGCCGAUGUCGGAUUAGCUAGUUGGCGGGGUAAAGGCCCACCAAGGCGACGAUCCGUAGCUGGUCUGAGGGGAUGAUCAGCCACACUGGAACUGAGACACGGUCCAGACUCCUACGGGAGGCAGCAGUGGGGAAUAUUGGACAAUGGGCGAAAGCCUGAUCCAGCCAUACCGCGUGGGUGAAGAAGGCCUUCGGGUUGUAAAGCCCUUUUGUUGGGAAAGAAAAGCAGCAGGUUAAUACCCCGCUGUUCUGACGGUACCCAAAGAAUAAGCACCGGCUAACUUCGUG
rnacentral:rRNA from 1 species